rnacentral:rRNA from 1 species
UACGUAGGGGGCAAGCGUUGUCCGGAAUUAUUGGGCGUAAAGAGCGCGUAGGCGGUCUGGUAAGUCGGUUGUGAAAGUCGGGGGCUCAACCCUCGGAUGCCGAUCGAUACUGUCAGGCUAGAGUCCGGAAGAGGCGAGUGGAAUUCCUGGCGUAGCGGUGAAAUGCGCAGAUAUCAGGAGGAACACCAAUGGCGAAGGCAGCUCGCUGGGACGGUACUGACGCUGAGGCGCGAAAGCGUGGGGAGCAAACAGG